UGAGUGGCGAACGGGUGAGUAACACGUGAGUAAUCUGCCCUCUUCUUUGGAUAACGCCCGGAAACGGGUGCUAAUACUGGAUAUUCACUGGCCUUCGCAUGGGGGUUGGUGGAAAGGUUUGUUCUGGUGGGGGAUGGGCUCGCGGCCUAUCAGCUUGUUGGUGGGGUGAUGGCCUACCAAGGCUUUGACGGGUAGCCGGCCUGAGAGGGUGACCGGUCACAUUGGGACUGAGAUACGGCCCAG
rnacentral:rRNA from 1 species